CACUGCCACCAGGUCGACAUAAGUCACGGCGGCACAGACACGGUCGCAGCAACGCCGCAAAUCGUGUCAACGCAACGCGUUGACAACUGUCACGAGAGAGAGAUAGGGAGAAAGAGUGAGAGAGAGCGAGGAGAAAGAGCGCAAAAAGCGAUGUAAACAAACAAGCACAAGUAGUAGGAAAAAAAGUGAAAAACGUUUACGAGCAGCUAGACGCGCGUGAAUAGGGGUUAAAAGGUGCGCUUUUGUGCAGUUUCGCGAGUUUGGUGCAUUUUGUGCGUGCAACGAGAAGGUUGACGAUCACGUACAGGUAGAAGCUACGAUCACGAACAGUACGGUCGCAAGCGGUUGAUUAGACGUUCCGACGGGACGUAGAAGGCCAGUUGACCUCGAACAGCACAAGAACGACACAGUACAGGACAGAAUUGGAUUCCGGCGGAGUCAGCAGGGAAUUUCAAUUGAACUUGAUUGUGGAUAGGACGGUUACAAGGAGCAGGAAAAGAUUUCUGGAAAGGAUCAAACUAAAAAAUGUAAGGAAACACACACACACACACAUGUACAUUUACAAACAUACUAAAAACUGUUCUUAAAUACAUUCAACAGUUUGAUCUGCUGCGAAGCGGCUGAUUCACAAAAUUUCGUUGGAUUAUUUCUACACCGUCCGAACAAAAUCAAAAUUUUUUAAACCGGAUUCGGAAAUGGUUUCCCGUAUGAAGGAAACGAAGUGCAUGUUCUGCAAAAAGGCAGACAAGCAUGAGCAUGGUUGGGAGGAGUGUUCUAA